AACGAACGCUGGCGGCAGGCCUAACACAUGCAAGUCGAGCGCGCCCUUCGGGGUGAGCGGCGGACGGGUGAGUAACGCGUGGGAACGUGCCCUUCUCUGCGGAAUAGCCUCGGGAAACUGAGAGUAAUACCGCAUACGCCCUUUGGGGGAAAGAUUUAUCGGGGAAGGAUCGGCCCGCGUGGGAUUAGGUAGUUGGUGGGGUAAUGGCCCACCAAGCGGACGAUCCAUAGCCGGGUUGAGAGGAUGAUCAGCCACACUGGGACGGAGACACGGCCCAGCCUCCUACGGGAGGCAGCAGUGGGGAAUCUUAGACAAUGGGGGCAACCCAGAUCUAGCCAUGCCGCGUGAGUGAUGAAGGCCUUAGGGUUGUAAAGCUCUUUCAGCUGGGAAGAUAAUGACGGUACCAGCAGAAGAAGCCCCGGCUAACUCCGUG
rnacentral:rRNA from 1 species